CGAUUUUACACCCGUUUCAUUAUAGUUUGGAGUUCAUUUACUAUUAUUUCGUGAUUUCACGGUUGGGUGUAGUUUUGACUGUUUGGAUGCAGAAUUGAGUGAUAUUGGAGCAUGGAGUGUAAGGAACAUGUUGAAGAGAAGAGCUAUGCGAGAAUCGAGCCCAAAAAUCGAGAAAAGACGAAGAUUCUGGAGUCAGGACGGAAAAGGAGCAACUCGGCGGUCAAAGGGCGUUGACCGCCGAAUUCUGGAGUUUUAAAGGCUGAAAACGGC
rnacentral:lncRNA from 1 species